rnacentral:rRNA from 1 species
GACAGAGGGUGCAAACGUUGUUCGGAAUUACUGGGCGUAAAGCGCGUGUAGGCGGCCUUGCAAGUCGGAUGUGAAAGCCCUCGGCUCAACCGGGGAAGUGCACCCGAAACUGCAAGGCUCGAGUUCCGGAGAGGAUAGUGGAGUUCUCGGUGUAGAGGUGAAAUUCGUAGAUAUCGAGAGGAACACCGGUGGCGAAGGCGGCUAUCUGGACGGUGACUGACGCUGAGACGCGAAAGCGUGGGGAGCAAACAGG